AGCAGCCGCGGUAAUUCCAGCUCCAAUAGCGUAUAUUAAAGUUGUUGCAGUUAAAAAGCUCGUAGUUGAAUUUCGGGAUUAGUAAGUUGGUCGUGCCUCUGGUAUGUACUGGCUUUACUGGUUCCUCCUUCUUGAAGAACUGUAAUGUCAUUAAUUUGGUGUUGCAGUGAAACAGGACUGUUACUUUGAAAAAAUUAGAGUGUUUAAAGCAGGCUAACGCUUGAAUACAAUAGCAUGGAAUAAUGAAAUAGGACGUUUGAUCCUAUUUUGUUGGUUUCUAGGAUUGACGUAAUGAUUAAUAGGGAUAGUUGGGGGCAUUAGUAUUCAAUUGUCAGAGGUGAAAUUCUUGGAUUUAUUGAAGACUAACUACUGCGAAAGCAUUUGCCAAGGAUGUUUUCAUUAAUCAAGAACGAAAGUUAGGGGAUCGAAGACGAUCAGAUACCGUCGUAGUCUUAACCAUAAACUAUGCCGACUAGGGAUCGGAUGAUGUUAAUUUUUUAAUGACUCAUUCGGCGCCUUA
rnacentral:rRNA from 1 species